GAUGAACGCUAGCUACAGGCUUAACACAUGCAAGUCGAGGGGUAACGAGAGGAAAGCUUGCUUUCCUUGUCGACGACCGGCGCACGGGUGAGUAACGCGUAUCCAACCUGCCCCCAACUAGGGAAUAACCUUGCGAAAGUAAGACUAAUACCCUAUACUUUCCUCAGAUGCCAUCUGACGAGGAAUAAAGAUUUAUCGGUUGUGGAUGGGGAUGCGUCUGAUUAGCUUGUUGGCGGGGUAACGGCCCACCAAGGCAACGAUCAGUAGGGGUUCUGAGAGGAAGGUCCCCCACAUUGGAACUGAGGCACGGUCCAAACUCCUACGGGAGGCAGCAGUGAGGAAUAUUGGUCAAUGGGCGGAAGCCUGAACCAGCCAAGUAGCGUGCAGGAUGACGGCCCUAUGGGUUGUAAACUGCUUUUAUACAGGAAUAAAGUUAGCCACGUGUGGUUAUUUGUAGGUACUGUAUGAAUAAGGACCGGCUAAUUCCGUGCCAGCCGCCGCCGUAA
rnacentral:rRNA from 1 species